CACCUCCGCAGGCUGGCUGGUCCCCAGGCGGGGCUGGGCGAGCAUCUCUCCUAAAGGCUCACCCUCAAGUGAGACCAGGAGC
rnacentral:pre_miRNA from 1 species